CAGUACGGAACGUCGCCCAGUCGGUGGGGAACAACGCAGACGAAAGCUGUGCUAAUACCGCAUACGAUCUAUGGAUGAAAGCGGGGAACCGUAAGGCCUCGCGCGAUUGGAGCGGCCGAUGUCAGAUUAGGUAGUUGGUGGGGUAAAGGCUCACCAAGCCAACGAUCUGUAGCUGGUCUGAGAGGAUGAUCCGCCACACUGGAACUGAAACACGGUCCAGACUCCUACGGGAGGCAGCAGUGGGGAAUUUUGGACAAUGGGCGCAAGCCUGAUCCAGCCAUGCCGCGUGAGUGAAGAAGGCCUUCGGGUUGUAAAGCUCUUUCGGCCGGGAAGAAAUCGCACAGGUUAAUACCCUGUGUGGAUGACGGUACCGGAAUAAGAAGCACCGGCUAACUCCGUG
rnacentral:rRNA from 1 species